rnacentral:rRNA from 1 species
AGUGAACGCUGGCGGUAGGCCUAACACAUGCAAGUCGAACGGCAGCACAGUAAGAGCUUGCUCUUACGGGUGGCGAGUGGCGGACGGGUGAGGAAUACAUCGGAAUCUACUUUUUCGGGGGGGAUAACGUAGGGAAACUUACGCUAAUACCGCAUACGACCUCCGGGUGAAAGCAGGGGAUCUUCGGACCUUGCGCGAUUGAAUGAGCCGAUGUCGGAUUAGCUAGUUGGCGGGGUAAAGGCCCACCAAGGCGACGAUCCGUAGCUGGUCUGAGAGGAUGAUCACCCGCACUGGAACUGGGACACGGUCCAGACUCCUACGGGAGGCAGCAGUGGGGAAUAGUGGACAAUGGGCGCAAGCCUGAUCCAGCCAUACCGCGUGGGUGAAGAAGGCCUUCGGGUUGUAAAGCCCUUUUGUUGGGAAAGAAAAGCAGCAGGUUAAUACCCCGCUGUUCUGACGGUACCCAAAGAAUAAGCACCGGCUAACUUCGUG